AAUAAGGUUCCCUGCUCAGCUCCUGGGGCUGCUAAUGCUUUGGGUUCCUGGAUCCAGUGGAGAUAUUGUGAUGACCCAGACUCCACCCUCCCUGCCCGUCAACCCUGGAGAGCCGGCCUCCAUCUCCUGCAGGUCUAGUCAAAGCCUCCUGCAUAGUAAUGGAUAUACCUAUUUGCAUUGGUACCCGCAGAAGCCAGGGCAAUCUCCACAGCUCCUGAUUUAUAGGGUUUCCAGUCGUUUUUCUGGGGUCCCAGACAGGUUUAGUGGCAGUGGGUCAGGCAGUGAUUUCACACUGAAAAUCAGCUGGGUGGAGGCUGAGGAUGUUGGGGUUUAUUACUGCAUGCAAGCUACACAGUUUCCUAACACAGUGGUACA
rnacentral:lncRNA from 1 species